UGGGGAAUAUUGCGCAAUGGGGGAAACCCUGACGCAGCGACGCCGCGUGUGGGAUGAAGGUCUUCGGAUUGUAAACCACUGUCGCGAGGGACGAAGCUCUGACGGUACCUCGAAAGGAAGCACCGGCUAACUCUGUGCCAGCAGCCGCGGUAAUACAGAGGGUGCGAGCGUUGUCCGGAAUCACUGGGCGUAAAGGGCGCGUAGGCGGCCCGGUAAGUAGGGGGUGAAAUCUCAUGGCUCAACUGUGAGGCUGCCUUCUAGACUGCCAGGCUUGAGCACAGUAGAGGCGAGUGGAAUUCCCGGUGUAGCGGUGGAAUGCGUAGAGAUCGGGAGGAACACCCAUGGCGAAGGCAGCACUCUGGGCUGGUAUUGACGCUGAGGAGCGAAAGCAUGGGUAGCGAACAGGAUUAGAUACCCCCGUAGUCCCUGAGCGGGCUGGCAAGGCGCAU
rnacentral:rRNA from 1 species